UCAUGGCUCAGGACGAACGCUGGCGGCGUGCCUAAUACAUGCAAGUCGAGCGGACAGAUGGGAGCUUGCUCCCUGAUGUUAGCGGCGGACGGGUGAGUAACACGUGGGUAACCUGCCUGUAAGACUGGGAUAACUCCGGGAAACCGGGGCUAAUACCGGAUGGUUGUUUGAACCGCAUGGUUCAAACAUAAAAGGUGGCUUCGGCUACCACUUACAGAUGGACCCGCGGCGCAUUAGCUAGUUGGUGAGGUAACGGCUCACCAAGGCAACGAUGCGUAGCCGACCAUGCGAGAGGGUGAUCGGCCACACUGGGACUGAGACACGGCCCAGACUCCUACGGGAGGCAGCAGUAGGGAAUCUUCCGCAAUGGACGAAAGUCUGACGGAGCAACGCCGCGUGAGUGAUGAAGGUUUUCGGAUCGUAAAGCUCUGUUGUUAGGGAAGAACAAGUACCGUUCGAAUAGGGCGGUACCUUGACGGUACCUAACCAGAAAGCCACGGCUAACUACGUGCCAGCAGCCGCGGUAAUACGUAGGUGGCAAGCGUUGUCCGGAAUUAUUGGGCGUAAAGGGCUCGCAGGCGGUUUCUUAAGUCUGAUGUGAAAGCCCCCGGCUCAACCGGGGAGGGUCAUUGGAAACUGGGGAACUUUGAGUGCAGAAGAGGAGAGUGGAAUUCCACGUGUAGCGGUGAAAUGCGUAGAGAUGUGGAGGAACACCAGUGGCGAAGGCGACUCUCUGGUCAUGUAACUGACGCUGAGGAGCGAAAGCGUGGGGAGCGAACAGGAUUAGAUACCCUGGUAGUCCACGCCGUAAAC
rnacentral:rRNA from 1 species